AUGGGAACGCGAAGAACCUUACCUAGACUUGACAUCUCCUGAAUAGUGUAGAGAUACAUGAAGCCCUUCGGGGCAGGAAGACAGGUGGUGCAUGGUUGUCGUCAGCUCGUGUCGUGAGAUGUUGGGUUAAGUCCCGCAACGAGCGCAACCCUUAUUACUAGUUGCUACCAUUAAGUUGAGCACUCUAGUGAGACUGCCCGGGGUUAACCGGGGAGGAAGGCGGGGAUGACGUCAAAUCAUCAUGCCCCUUAUGUNUAGGGCAACACACGUGCUACAAUGGUGAGUACAGAUAGAUGCGAUACCGCAAGGUGGAGCCAAACUCUAAAACUCAUCCCAGUUCGGAUUGUAGGCUGCAACUCGCCUACAUGAAGUUGGAGUUGCUAGUAAUCGCGAAUCAGAAUGUCGCGGUGAAUACGUUCCCGGGUUCUUGUACACACCG
rnacentral:rRNA from 1 species